rnacentral:rRNA from 1 species
AUUGAACGCUGGCGGCAGGCCUAACACAUGCAAGUCGAACGAGUGGCGGACGGGUGAGUAAUGUCUGGGGAACUGCCCGAUGGAGGGGGAUAACUACUGGAAACGGUAGCUAAUACCGCAUACUAUAGGAUGAGCCCAUAUGGGAUUAGCUAGUAGGUGGGGUAAAGGCUCACCUAGGCGACGAUCCCUAGCUGGUCUGAGAGGAUGACCAGCCACACUGGAACUGAGACACGGUCCAGACUCCUACGGGAGGCAGCAGUGGGGAAUAUUGCACAAUGGGCGCAAGCCUGAUACAGCCAUGCCGCGUGUAUGAAGAAGGCCUUCGGGUUGUAAAGUACUUUCAGCGGGGAGGCGUUACUCGCAGAAGAAGCACCGGCUAACUCCGUGCCAGCAGCCGCGGUAAUAC